UGUGCCUACGGGGCGCAGCAGUGGGGAAUAUUGGGCAAUGGGCGCAAGCCUGACCCAGCAACGCCGCGUGAAGGAAGAAGGCUUUCGGGUUGUAAACUUCUUUUCUCAGGGACGAAGCAAGUGACGGUACCUGAGGAAUAAGCCACGGCUAACUACGUGCCAGCAGCCGCGGUAAUACGUAGGUGGCAAGCGUUAUCCGGAUUUACUGGGUGUAAAGGGCGUGUAGGCGGGGACGCAAGUCAGAUGUGAAAACCACGGGCUGAACCUGUGGCCUGCAUUUGAAACUG
rnacentral:rRNA from 1 species